GCAUUGGUGGUUCCGUGGUAGAAUUCUCACCUUCAAUGUGGGAGACCUGGAUUCGAUUCCCAGGCAAUGUA
rnacentral:tRNA from 1 species